GUUAUUUUCUUAAAAUCUAAAAGGUUUGGCGGCAUUUAAUCUUUUCAGAGGAGCCCGUUUCAUAAACGUAAUGACGCGUUUUAUCUUACCCGAUUUAACUCAUAUAUCGUCAUUUAAAUAAGCUUAACACAGAGAUAUUAAAAAAGAACACAAGCAUGUUAGAUUUGGUGUGGUAUUUUUGGGGGUAGAUAGGCUACAACCUAAAAAGGUGUUAAUUUUUUUAUGUAAAGAACUAGGACAGAGGAUUUGAUAGUAAUUCUAUUUAAUAUAAUG
rnacentral:rRNA from 1 species